GUCACAAAAUAAAGCUCUCUGAUUUGCUGAAAUGUUUUUAAAUUUCAAAAAACUCUGAUUGACAGUCUGAAAUUUCCCAGCGAAUCAGAGAGCUUUAUUUUGUGAC